CUCCGUGAAGUCUUAACGUUCUAUCACCGCAUUUAAAUGUUAUCAGUUAAAUCAGUAUUUGAUUUUUAAUAAAUAAGUCCUAGUAACAUUAAUUAUAGACUUCGGAAUUAUUAUUUUGAUAAUAUAAGUGUCGUCUUGCACCCCGAUAGGGGUCCGACCUUUGGAUUCGAGGCUGAAGAGGUAUCUCCUAGUCCCUUGAACCUGUUCUGGAAGAGGCUUCCGUCCGAUCACUCCCCAGGGCCAUUCCAGCUUCCUCGCAGGCUGGACCUCCAUAUGGUUUCUGCUAUCGCCGUCGCCCUUGUUCCCCGCCAAACCAGGAGAGUAAAAGUACUUCCAAAACCAGAUCAGGCCCUUAGUACCCCGACCCCUUAUUAUAAAUAAAUUGUAAUAUAUUC